UACAGAGGCCUCGAGCGUUAGGCGGAAUCACUGGGCUUAAAGCGUGUGUAGGCGGGCCGUUAAGUACCUUGUGAAAUCCCCCGGCUCAACCGGGGAACGGCUGGGUAUACUGGCGGCCUUGAGAGGCCUAGGGGCGAGCGGAACAAGCGGUGGAGCGGUGAAAUGCGUAGAUAUCGCUUGGAACGCCGACGGUGAAAACAGCUCGCUGGGGGCCAUCUGACGCUGAGACACGAAAGCCAGGGGAGCGAACGGG
rnacentral:rRNA from 1 species